GCCGGGGUGCCCGAGCGGACUAAGGGGGUAGGCUCGAGACCAUUUCCAGCUAAAAGCGAGCGACCUACUGUCCGAAAGGACACGCGGGUUCAAAUCCCGCCCCCGGCG
rnacentral:tRNA from 1 species